AUUGAGCGCUGGCGGCAUGCCUUACACAUGCAAGUCGAACGGUAACGCGGGGCAACCUGGCGACGAGUGGCGAACGGGUGAGUAAUGCAUCGGAACGUGCCCAGUAGAGGGGGAUAGCCCGGCGAAAGCCGGAUUAAUACCGCAUACGACCUAUGGGUGAAAGCGGGGGACCGAAAGGCCUCGCGCUAUUGGAGCGGCCGAUGUCAGAUUAGGUUGUUGGUGGGGUAAAGGCCUACCAAGCCGACGAUCUGUAGCUGGUCUGAGAGGACGACCCGCCACACUGGGACUGAGACACGGCCCAGACUCCUACGGGAGGCAGCAGUGGGGAAUUUUGGACAAUGGACGCAAGUCUGAUUCAGCCAUGCCGCGUGCGGGAAGAAGGCCUUCGGGUUGUAAACCGCUUUUGUCAGGGAAGAAACGCUCUGGGUUAAUACCUCGGGGUAAUGACGGUACCUGAAGAAUAAGCACCGGCUAACUACGUGCCAGCCGCCGCGGUAACAC
rnacentral:rRNA from 1 species